AUUGUAGACGUGUUAUUGAUUUUUGUCCAUUCGACAAUUUUGUGCAUAUGAGACCAAGUAUCACCUGUCUGCAAUGAUAUUCUCUAAGAUAAAAAGCGCACAGAUGAAGGGAGGAGGUGGCCACCAAGACAACUGAAAGAAACAUUUCAGUUUACUGUUGGGUCUUGAGUUCUGUUAACUGUGUCAGACUCGAGCAGGUUAGAGUGCAUAUAAGGUCAUUGGUUUAUCCCAGUAAUUAUUCCCAACAGAAGAGUGUCAUAGAUGAGGAACCUGCGAAAGUGACUAACGUAUUGACUCAGCGAGGAUUUUGGGAAGGAGGCUAAACUAUCCCGUCCCAUAGUGCUCUUGGGUUCUAAGUGUCGCGCCAAAUGGAGUUUAACUCAUUUCCCAGCACCAAUCAUUUAACUCAUUUCCAAGCACCGAGCAUGCACAAUAUAACCUAUACAUGUUGUAUAACAUAUACAAUAUAUAUACAGUCAAAUUUUACCCACCGUCGUGAACAGGUAUGGGAACAGGUAAGUAUGUGGGAUUUGAGCUGCCACUCAUUCCGCCGCGCAAACGCUGUGAUCUAUUGUCUUCUAGCUUGGAUUGAUGGUUGUGUGACAUGAAUAAGAGCACAGCUGGGAUUAUGUUAAGGCGAAUUUCGCAACACAAUAGGGCAAUUGAUUCAAUCAAUACAAUUGAUUAUCUCUGUCUGGUCAAUAAUUUAAGAACACUGUGACUGAUUCUGCUCAAACUUGGACUGUGGUAUGACAUUGUGUUGGCAGCUAAAAUUGGUUACGGAUAUAUAUGCGUAAUGAAGUGUGCCCAUGGCGGCCAUCUUGAAUAACUUUGUCUGGAAAGCUUAAGAACGUUUAAGAACGCUUUGACUUAUUACAUUCAAAACUUGUUGUUGCCGCGUGUUUUCUAUACCUAUAACACUAUGCGGACAAUAAUUGGAGAACAUCAGUUUGUCAAAAGCCUAAGCGGGACG